UCUCAACAGAGGUUCAACUCUUUUUUAGCCACAGACUUCAACCAGGCAAAAGUAUAUGGAAAGCCAUAAAGGAACUACCGACGCUUCAGCUGACCAGUCUUCCCAAAAGCAGAAGCUAAGUGGGGCUCUUCUUUGGGCUUUAGCAUAGCUGAAUUCCUCUGACGCUGGGGGAGGAGACAGGGUUGGGAAAUACUGCCACAAAUGCUGUCUCCAAACCCGAAGUCACCUCUUUCAAACUGGGCUCUGCAGCCCACCAGAUUCAUACUCUUCCCUUAAAUCACACGUCUAAGGCAUUGACAGAGCCUAAUACUUGGAGGAAGUUUGCCACCUCCAUGUUUAGCCUUUUAACCAAUCCAAAUCCAUGAGACCUUCUAUCAAUGACAGCAGCCAGGGCAAGAGCAGCUGAUUUCAUCCCUUCCUCUACUGCUACCACAGAGCUGGCCUCUACCAGGACUCCCCAACCCUCUAAACCUACCCACUCCCCAAGAAAGGCUCCCCAGGUCCUCAAAAAAGCAAAGUUUCAUUAAUUUUGCUUGUCCAGGCCAUGCUAGGCUGGACAAGAACUCUGAAACAAAUGCUCUAGCCAAAAGUCUUCUAAUCAAAAUGGACCUAAAAAGAGCCAAGAAUAAAGUAAUUAUCCUCUGUUAUUGUUUUCUUGAGUCAUAUAAACCUUUUUAACUGAUGCAACUCAGAAAAAUUUCCCUGUUUUGAGCAUAGGAGAGUUAAAAAACUAAGACGCAAAGUAAUGACCUAUAAUAUCAGUGGGCAUGAACAAGAGGUUUUCAAUCCAUUUUAGUUGGAAAAAAUUUACCAGCACGUAGCACUUAGGAUUGUGUCACAUAAAUACCAACCCAAAAGCCAGAAUGUGAUGGCUCAAACAAAGCCUUAAUCAUCUAAGAGAGACGAUGGAAAAAUUAAAAUGAAGGCUCCCCUCCCCUACUUUUUUAAAAAAAAGAAUUUAUUGCAGCCUCCAAGGUGGUGCUAGGCCUUUAGUUAAAAUUAAGUCUUAAGGACAUUCUAUGUAACUUCUGUCCAUAGGGGAAUACUAAUAAAAUCAAGCCUAGUCUCACUGGAACAACAUGGAAAUAAGUAAAAAGCCUCCUCAAACAGCAGAGCAAAGAAAAGGAAGAAAUCAAAUACUGCUGCAAGCCACAACCAGGAAGCACUCUCAGCAGUCAAACUGAUGUCAAAUGCCAAUGUGCUGAGUCCUUUUCAACAGUUUACAGCAAAGUUUCUUGGGUCCAAUGCCAGAGUUUACACUUCGGUUUCAAAGAAAAUUCUAGGGCAGUGCACUAAAAAACACACACUAUAUCCCACAAAAGAAAGUCAUCUACUUCUUGGAAAAUGAAGGCAACAUCAUUAAGGAUUCCCUUUGAUAAUGCACUGAAAGGCACUGGACAAAAGUUGAAUGGGCCUCAUACUGGAUUUUAAAGGUAUAUCCUCAAGAGACCUGAAAACAUAUGUUCACACAAAUAUUUGUACAUGAAUGUUCACAGCACCGUUAUUCAUAAUGGCCAAAAAGUGAAAACAUCCCAAAUGACCAUCACCUGAUGAAUGGAGUAUAUCUAUACAAUGGAGUAUCAGUAAGCCAUAAAAAAGAACGGAAAAUGCUAAUACAAGCUACAACAUGGAUGAACCCUGAAAAUACU